CUUCCAGAUAAAGCUGCCAGGUUCCAGUCCAAAGGAAAAAACGGUGGCCCGCUAGCUUCUCUGUGGGCGCUUGGGCGGAGAUCUGGAUAGCGCUGCACGCCACUGCUUCUCUUUCCCCGCGAGUGUCCGCUCCGUACACCGGCGACUACGAUCCUGUUUCUGGUGCGUACCUUACAGUCCAUCCUUCUCCACGUGUCUACGCUCUUCACUGCGCCAUGUGAUUCCUCCAGUAACAGAUCGCGCCCUCGACAGGUGAAAGGGAGUGUCGCAUUCCCCAUCAGCACUAUUACUGACGGCCGUCGCGUGGUGUUCCCGACGUGUGCUACCAUCUCCAGUACACCCAAUCCUCAACGUGUCGACGAUCCACGCAGGUGAUUUGGAUAGCGUGCAUAUUUUGUCACCAACAGGACCAAUACAUCUGGGACUAAUACAUCUGCUAUUAUCGAUGGACUACACACUUCUACCAGAUUUAACAACGUAUAAAAAACAUGCGAUAAUCCAGGUCCAUGUCUCAAGAAAAUGGUCUUUCCAUGGCGCCACUGAAAAUGGUCCCUUGCAGCACAUCGACAUGGUCCUAUCAGAUUGCAAGGGUAAUAGUAUGGAUGCUGAAAUACCAGCAAAUCUUGCCGAAGAAAAGGGAGCACUCAUCGAAACAAAUCAGAUCUACAACAUCAGACGUUUUAGAGUUACUGCAGCAAAAACAGCCUACAAACCCAUUGAUGGUGACAAGAUGAUACAAUUUACGAUUUACACAAUUAUCAAGCCUGCAAGUAACCCACCACCUACAUUUCCUUUAUAUAUCUAUCAAUUAACUCCAUUUGAAGAGAUUGAAUCUCAAAUUCAGCACAAGACCAAAUUCCUAGAUGUUCUUGGAACUAUAACCGAGGUAACUGCUUUGAAGACAGUACACAUAGAAGGACAACUCAGCCCCACUAUUAUUAGAGACGUAAUGAUAGAAGAUCUAAGGUUUAUGCAUCCAGGGGCUCAAGUUGGAUUAUCGAUAGCGGGUGCAC
rnacentral:misc_RNA from 1 species